rnacentral:SRP_RNA from 1 species
GCCGAGCCGGGUAGCGUUGGCUUGUCACCCGAGCGGGGGCAAUAAGGUGGUGUUGGAUGCCUGGUCGUUUGCGCUUGGGUCUGGGCCUGUGGUUUGCACUAUGCGGCCCGCCCGUUUCAAGUUGCGUAGCGCGUGUGGGACCCCUGGGCGAAGGCUCGAGCGUCCCUGCACCUAGAGUGGCGGGUAUUGCGUGAGGCUGGUUUCACAGAGCAGCGAGUACCGCCCGCUUCCAACGGUGGAAGGAUAACGGGCCGCUGCAGCCCUGGCCCGCUCCGGCCCAAGUGCCUUCCAUGGCAGACCACCAUCUUU